CUCUCAAAUCCUUCUUCUCAGUUCUGAGACAUUUCUGUUCGCCUUUUGUUCCGAUGCUUUUUCAUCCGAAGCGACUUCGCCGGCUGUAUAAAUGGGUAAAAAAAAAACCUGCUUAGAGGUCUAAUAGCAGCCCCCGCCUUCGGACAUCAGGAAUUAGCCCCCUUUCGUCUUUCUCAUUACCCACAAUGCCCUAUCGUUUCCCAGUCAAAUCAGGAAAUGGGCUUCAAUCCACCUUCAAUCUAGCUACUUGCUGACAUGUUACGAUCCCCGCAAAAGUUCUGCCGGUUUCAAGUUUUCGACUAACUUCAUGAAAGACAUUUCGAUCUGACAGCUUCCACUGACGCUGUACUUUUCCUUUUGGAUCAAGAGGAACGGAUCGUUUAUGAGGAAUAGAUCAUCUCAUCAAGCCGAUAACAUCAUAUAAGGCCGCUAACCUACUGAUAUAGGCGCAGAAUCCUGCAGUCAGGAAUUCGGGCUUUGACCCCAUGUGGAGCACUCGUUCAGACCCCACGGCAGACAGGAAGCAAUUCUGAAGGGCCUCCUAUUUUGGAUCUACUAAUCCACCCCACUCCACCCACCCAGACAGGCCUCCAUCCUUGCAGUAGUGACUUUUUCAACAUCCUGCUGGAUAAACCUACGAUCCGAGCCGCUGAUGAGGGCUAAUUAAACGACGGAGGAGGGAUGCGAUUGGCAGCCAGCACGUCCACCUGUGAUGAGCGUCUGCUGGACCAGCUGGGAGUAGCCCCGCCCCCUUCAGCUGCCUCAUAUCAAUGAUGUUGCCGCAGAUCCUGCAGACGGCUACUGAGAGGUCCCGCCCCCUGGCCGUGAUUGGUGAGCCCAUGGAGGAGAACUUGUGAAAAUGGAUAGGAGAAGGGAUGGAACUCCACCCAGCAAGGCUGAAAACAGGGAUGGAAAAUCGGCAAUAACACCCCCCCCCCCCCCCCACACACACACCGCUGUGGGUCUCUGAAAGUAUGGCGUGCAAAGCCUCGCACCAUCACCACACUCCGCCAGCAUGACCUCUGACGCGGAACAGACACCCGUUCCGGACGUGCUCUGGCAGGAGACUCGGAAUUCCGGCGGGAACGUCGCACAGGGGUGCGACGGAAGGCUUGUGUAGUUUUUCCAUUUGUCCGCUCGCCAACAUCCACCGACGUUUGUCGCCAUUUUUCUGGUGCCCGUCGCCACGCUGACCUCAAGAGUUACGACGGGGGGGGCAUGUGAGACCCCCGCCACCAUCGCCAUGGAGAGGGCCGGGUGAUUUGUUGGACAGUCGGAGCCUUUGGAACCGGCCAGGGAUACGGGGAUCCUCAGUCACGUAAACAUAAAACUUAUUAACGAUAUUAUGCGGCUCUUAAAAGGCAUACGAGAGCCCUGCUGGGAUGGCUGGAGGUGCGGCUAACGGCAAGGCCACGGCACGAUUCCAGUUACAACACAUUAGACACAACAUAAUAGGACCACUGGCACGCACAUUAUACUAAAAUGGCUGUAGGGUUACGCCGGACACUAAAUACACGCUGUCCUUUCCUGUACUCUGUCCCUUCUUGAUUACAGGAGCAGGACGCUUCUUAGUGCAUGUCCCUGGAUCAGAGGGAUGAAAUUCCUCCGUUUCAUAUAGAAUUAUAUAAAACCCCAAACAAUCAAUCCAGUAAAAAAAUAAGUGCACGUUUGUCAGCAUUAUAAGAUCUGCUAAUUAUUUUUUAUAACCUAGUGGGAUAAAACAGCCCCUUUCUGUCAGGUGUUUCUUAUAUUACACCAGAACACCUACAAAACAUCAUCUUACAAAUGUAUGGAUCAGAAGCCUUAACAUACUCAUCAACGAAGAUAACACCAACCCGGCCCCCCCGCUGAGGGUAAGUUUGGAUAAACAGAAAUGGGGGGAAGGUGCCUGUCUCUAUGUCACCUUGAUGAUCCAGAGCAUUUAAUGAUAACUAGAAGUAGGCACUUGAUAUUUGAGGUCAUCCUUUCAGACUCAUUAUUUUCUGUGAAACUCAAAAAC